CCAAAACGAAUAAUAGAAUAAAUUCCAAUUACAGAGGCUUACUUUAAUCAUGAUUCAUGUCACCCCUUUACAGCUUGGAGCCAUACAGAAGCUGACCCACAUAACAGAAUAAACAGAAAUUUAAAUUCGGAGCCCAACCAAAUACAGAGACACUCAAAUUCAGCGGCUCCUCUCCUUAGAAUUGCUUCCUCUACGAGUAUGAAAUAACAUGCACCAUUCUCAUGAUCAUAUUGUGCUAACUCUGAUAAUGCCCCUUCCUGUGAUUCAGUGCCCUACGAUACUGUGAUUUCGGAAACUGAGAAGUAUAGAUUCAUGAGAGGUAUACUGCUGAUAAUUUCUACACUCAGUGUUAUUUUCAGUGCCUUUUGAUUU
rnacentral:lncRNA from 1 species